GAUGAAGAGCGCAGCGAAAUGCGAUACGUAAUGUGAAUUGCAGAAUUCAGUGAAUCAUCGAGUCUUUGAACGCACAUUGCGCCCCCUGGUAUUCCGGGGGGCAUGCCUGUCCGAGCGUCAUUGCUGCCCUCAAGCACGGCUUGUGUGUUGGGCCUCCGUCCUCCUCCCGGGGGACGGGCCCGAAAGGCAGCGGCGGCACCGCGUCCGGUCCUCGAGCGUAUGGGGCUUCGUCACCCGCUCUUGUAGGCCCGGCCGGCGCUUGCCGACACAUCAAUCUUUUUUCCAGGUUGACCUCGGAUCAGGUAGGGAUACCCGCUGAACUUAAGCAUAUCAAUAAGCGGAGGA
rnacentral:misc_RNA from 1 species